rnacentral:ncRNA from 1 species
NGGAGAUGCAGCAUAUUAAUAAGCGGAGAAGAAACAAACCAGGAUUCCCUCAGUAACGGCGAGUGAAGAGGGAGAAGCCCAGUACCGAAGCCUGCGGCAGGUUUUUCGGUAGGCCAUGUGGUGUGUGGGUUGGCUGGCGGGACCGCCACUCCACUCCAAGUCCAGCCCGUAAGAGUGGAGGCUCAGGCAGGUGAGGCGGUUCACCAGGCCGGCUCAGGAGUCGGGUUGUUUGAGAUUGCAGCCCAAAGUGGGUGGUAAACUCCAUCCAAGGCUAAAUACAGGCACGAGUCCGAUAGCGGACAAGUACCGUGAGG